rnacentral:antisense_RNA from 1 species
UGCCAGUUAUCCAGGCAGUGACUUUCAGUACAGCUACAGUCACCUCUGGACACCUGCAGAGACUUUAAAAAUUUCCAGAAGGUCAGGAAUUUUUGGAGACCUUUCUCAUGGCUACGUUGCCUGCAAAGGUGAAUUAAUAAGCUUCUGAACUGACUUAGAAAAUGUUUCAGAGACUCUGGUGGGCAGAUAGACCCUCUCCUGCCACUCCGGAUAGAUGUAUCUGCGUCACACACACCUGAUUUAACAACAUCUUAUUAUCUCAGAGUGUCACUCUGUCGCCCAGGCUAGAGUGCAAUGGCGCGAUCUCGGCUCACUGCAACCUCUGCCUCCAGGG